rnacentral:rRNA from 1 species
UACGGAGGGUGCAAACGUUGCUCGGAAUCAUUGGGCGGAAAGCGCACGUAGGCGGCUCGUUAAGUCGGAUGUGAAAGCCCCGGGCUCAACUCGGGAAGUGCAUUCGAAACUGGCGAGCUUGAAUAUGGAAGAGGGUCGCGGAAUUCCCGGUGUAGAGGUGAAAUUCGUAGAUAUCGGGAGGAACACCAGUGGCGAAGGCGGCGACCUGGGCCAAUAUUGACGCUGAGGUGCGAAAGCGUGGGGAGCAAACAGG